CCUCUUUCAAUUCCUUGCCGAAACCCCUAUAUCAGGCGUGCUGGGCAACCAGCUAUGGCAAUAAACGGUCAGUGCAAUAAGCCUAUCGGACCCGGGGGCGGUACCCGGCGCCUCCACCAAAGCUCAUACGGUUGCGGAUCAGGAAUCGCAUGAGUUUCGGCGGGGGCGAAAUAGGAUCGACGAGGGUGUAAAGACUGCGCUUUUGCUCGGCAUUGUACCACCGUUAUCGGGCUGUUCUAAUAGUUGCAAACGACAACUAUGCUAUGGACAACGCCGUCGCUGCGUAAUGCAGUGCAGGUAGUCCUUUAAAGUCCUGUUGGGUUAGCUCCGGCAGGCGGGGUUCGGAGGCACCUGGCAACAGAAGCCUCCACU
rnacentral:tmRNA from 1 species